AGGAUAGAAUAGAAUAGAAUAGAAUUUGAGAUAAAAUAUCAACUAUUUCUUAUGUUAAAGCAUUUUUAUUCUGUUGUAUAGAGGAGUGAUGGUGUUGGACCAGAGGGAAAUAUAAUUUAAGGUGGAACCAGCACUCUGCAGCACUCAGUCUGUCUGUUCACUGACAGGUGACAGUUAGAGGCCUCCUUCAUUUCUUCCAAUGAGGAGACGGCUCUCUGCUCUGCAGCAGUUCCACAGUUUUCUACUCGGGGGAAUAAAGCACACAUCUGUAUACCUGCACCUUGAAAUGAUAUGGCAUUUUCAUACUAACUGUCACCUCAGCUGGGUUUGCUCCUUGCUGGCUCUCCUCCCAGAAUGACUGAAACCCAUCCCACUGAGUUGGAUUAUAACAUGUCAGUUGCUGACGUCAGCCGAUCGCUGCCCUGUGUUAUGAGCGCUUGUGCUGCAUAUUUAUUCAUCUUUGAAAUGCAUUUACCUGCAAAACAUUGUGAUGGUCUGAUCCUGAGGAGUCGGAUCACCUCCCAGCUGCAGAUGAAGACCGUGCAGCUAUGCCAGACAGGAAGCUCUACAUUUAUAUAUGACAGCUGUAGUUACAGAUGUAAUAAUACUUUACAUACAACACACACGAUUAGCUUAUAAAAUGUGAUGCACUGUUGUAGAUCACACCACCCAACAGUAUAUAAACUAGCUCCAUCUUGACCAACUGUAACAGUAAAAGGCAGCUUAUACAUUAACGCAUUCUAGUGUCAUAAUAAUACAAUAAUAUAGUGUAUAAUAUUAUAACAAGUUUUACUUAUAAUGGAGUACUUAAUAAUACAAUUUGGAUACUUUUACUUAACCAAAUGAUCUAAAAACUUCCUCCACCACAGGUUUUACGCUACUUGUACAAAAAAACACAAACUGUUGGAUCCUAUGAAUACUUCUAUUUCUAAUCAUUUUAAUUUAGUAAAAUAGGUACAAAUGUGACAUGAGAUCUCACUCUUCAAGCUCCACUGACUCUCCACCUUUCCUCUGUGAGCGUGCAGCUGUCUGGAGGCAGGAAUGUAAAGUGUUCUGUGUCUAUUCACUUCAUUUUUACUACCCCAGCAGGUCAGACCAUGCCUCACUUACACCAACAUCUCUGCUCCUUUCUGUUGAAAUAAAACACAAAUCUGUCAA